UCCAAGAAUCCUAACUCAUGUGUGAUAAAACCACUUACUACUUACCGUUAUCCUUUACAGAGAGCUUUGCUGUUUCUUCCAAACUCGAGCCAUUUUUGCCCCACACUGCACAACGGGCAGUGCACUAGCUAACCGCCAAAAAAGAAGAAGAAGAAGCAGAAGAAGAAGAAGAAGAAGAAGCUUGAACGUUGCCCGCGCGGGAGACGUUCUGGUGGAGGCAAACUCAGGUUAGGAUAGUCGAUUGGUCAAUUGACAGGACCUGAACAAAUAAUGGCCAAUAGUAGUGAUUGUAGGGCGGGUCUUGGCGCUACCAUAGUGGGAUUAGUAAUUUCGCUGGAGGUUGAGAAGUGUCCGUUGGUCACUGCUGCUGCAAGUGUUGGCUUUUGCCCCUGCCACGAUGAAAAGGAUGGAGAAAAACAAAGUGCCGGCAAAAAAGAGGCUAUGAGUUCCCACUCAGAAAAUGAAGGACCUGAGCUCCCCUUCCCCAAAUGAGCAAUCUGGAUGUGUUGCAUUUGGCAGAUGGGAGGAUGGUUAUACCGGCAAAAUCUUUAAAGAAUCUGACAUUUUGGCAAGGGAUGAGGCUCCUGUGCAGCUGCAAGAUCCUAGAUCAGGAGAUCCUGUUUUAGCAAAGUGGUCAGAUGGUAUUUCCACCUCCAAUAGUGAGAGGACUUUCACCAUAAAUAUGGGAAUCCAGCAGAGGGCAUCAGAGAACACUAUGAAGAAGAAUCUAUUGGCCACAGCCACGUCUCUGUGCAAUCUGCUCCUCAAGUCUGUGGCAUUGAUGCCGGUUUUAUAGAUGGAGUAGAACAUGCUGGAGUAGGAGAAGGCAAUCACCAGGAACGCCACCAGGUUUAGACCUAAAGGAUACACACACAUACAUAAGUAUUCAAAUCCUUUCCUUAAAUAAAAGUACCAAUACGUCAUUAAAAGUAGGCUUAAUAUCCUGCAUUCAAAAUCUUGCAUUAUUAAAACUAGUAUUAUCACAAAAUAUACUUUAAUAAAUAUAAACAGUAGUACAUAUGCAUUCUGCAGGAAGAAGACCCCUGUGACUGAUAUAUUAUUAUAUGUGACAGUAUUAAAUCGUUAAUACUGAUGAGUCAAUGAGUGAGCAACAUUUUAAUUUUGGAGCAAUCAAGGCCGAGUCAGUUUUGAUUACUUCAUAUACAGUUAGAUAGUUUAGUCCAGUAGUUUCCAACAAGGGUCAAGCCCCCUGCAAAGGGUCCAAAAAUAAAUGUGAGGGGUUGUGGGAUAAUUGUUUCACCAAAGAACAAGAAACAAAAGUUCGGCUUCACAAAUUUGUAUUACUUUUUUGGGACGUAAUGGAUAACUGUACUUCUUUUGUGCCUUAAACAAUUAUAAAUAAAAAACACCAACUCAAACAUCCAAAACGUGACAAGGGCCCCAAAAUAGAUACUGUUUUAUUGUAAAAGGUCACAAGCCAAACAUGUUGGUAAUUUAAUCUUUAACAAUGAAUUGUGAUUCCGCAAGUCCAAGAAUGAUGUGGCUACCAAUACAGCCCAACUUGAAUAUAUUCCCAACCAUUUUGAUGGGGGACAGGAGACGGAGCUUCAGGCCAAACUGCUUUAAUCUUCAUCCACGGCAUGAGUAUUCUGUCAUGAUGGACAUAUUGCUAUGCAUGUAGACAUUUUUUUAUUUUUUAUGGUCCUACCUUUCUUGCACCUGCAAAAUAAAUGUUUAUAUGAUUUUAAAGUAAAAUAAAGAUUAUAAUCUUUGAAUAUCA